rnacentral:rRNA from 1 species
AUGCAUUUUUUUGUGCGCAAUAAAGAGGCACUUCCUUGCAUGCGAAGAUAUAGUUGGUGCGUCCGACUUGUCAGUGGAGGGAAUGUUUUUUUUUGCGAAAUACAGAGGCCCUUCCGGUGGGUCCCAGAUGUCAGGUGGAGGAAUCGUUAUUUUGCGCGUAAUAAGGAGGCAUUUCCUUGUGUGCGGCCGUGGACCCAGCUCUCAUCCUCUCCGCAUAAAGUCCACUUCCGAUGGAUGCCAUUCGUUGACCACAUUGACCACGCCGCGCCGAGAGCACCAGGGCGGUGGACGACGGUGAGGCCUAUGAAGGGAACGACACGGAGCUGGCAAAGACAUGACAGUGGCUGCCCACGCGGUGGAGAGUACGAGGGAUGA